AGACGUCUACAUAGAUACCCCCGUAGUCCCAGCCGUAAACUAUGCGCGUUAGGUGUAUCGGUGACCACGAGUCACCGAGGUGCCGAAGGGAAACCGUGAAACGUGCCGCCUGGGAAGUACGGUCGCAAGGCUGAAACUUAAAGGAAUUGGCGGGGAGCACCACAACGGGUGGAGCCUGCGGUUUAAUUGGACUCAACGCCGGGAAGCUCACCGGAUAAGACAGCGGAAUGAUUGCCGGGCUGAAGACUCUGCAUGACUAGCUG
rnacentral:rRNA from 1 species